rnacentral:rRNA from 1 species
GUGGGGAAUCUUGCGCAAUGGGCGAAAGCCUGACGCAGCCAUGCCGCGUGGAUGAUGAAGGUCUUAGGAUUGUAAAAUCCUUUCACCGGUGAAGAUAAUGACUGUAGCCGGAGAAGAAGCCCCGGCUAACUUCGUGCCAGCAGCCGCGGUAAUACGAAGGGGGCUAGCGUUGCUCGGAAUUACUGGGCGUAAAGGGAGCGUAGGCGGACAUUUAAGUCAGGGGUGAAAUCCCGAGGCUCAACCUCGGAACUGCCUUUGAUACUGGGUGUCUUGAGUGUGAGAGAGGUGAGUGGAACUCCGAGUGUAGAGGUGAAAUUCGUAGAUAUUCGGAAGAACACCAGUGGCGAAGGCGACUCACUGGCCCAAUACUGACGCUGAGGCGCGAAAGCGUGGGGAGCAAACAGGAUUAGAAACCCCGGUAGUCC